UUCUAUUAGGGUCUCCUUCUGGUCCUGUACCAGUCUCAUUGUAAUGCUGGGGGUCGCACUAACUCAGGUCUAUACCGUCCGCAGACUGUUUGACGAUAAGAGGCGUGUCUGUACAUAAAGACACGCCCACUCCACCACCUCACAGCCAAUCAGGGUUAAGAGAAGAGAGGAAAAGAGUGGAGAGGAAGGAAGACGAGGAGGAUACAGAAGAGUAAAUUAUCUGCGUCACAAAUUGCACCUUAUUCCUUAUCUAGAGCCGAUCUCUGGUCAGAAGAUGUUGAACCUUUAUUUAAACUAGGCCAGUGAGGAUUUACCUACAGGCAGAACGACAGACUUUUACCUUGUCAGCUCGGGGAUUCGAUCCAGCAACCUCUCGGUUACUGGCCCAACGCUCUAACCACUAGGCUACCAACCGCGCCUAGUAGUGCACUAUCUAGGGAAUAGGGUGCUAUUUGGGACACUCCUUUGCCAUCUGGGCUCAACACAGUGCCUUUUACUCCCUGGGUGGUGUUCAUUAGACACAGAACUAGACAACAGAAGUGACCAGAGGUUCUGCCUCCAUUUGUCCAAUGAGAACGUUCACUUUUGCGUUUCCCGGGAAACAGUUUUUCUGCCCUGUUUGUGCUUAUUGGACUUUUGGUCCCAGUCUGCCCCUGAGUCAGUCAUCAUUUACCCACAAUGCAUCAAGGAUGUGAUCCGCACAAAAGCGCACGUUGGGUUUAAAUCUCUCUAGUAAUUGAAUUUCUAUGGAUCCUCCUAUUUUACCAGAACAAGCCCCACCCAACCCCUAAUGUCCUUCUUCUCUCAUUGGUCCAUGUCUUUGUGACCUGUUGUGGGUAGCCAAUCACCUUUUUUUGGUGUUGCUGAGUUUUAUGUGCCAGUAAGAUUCUAUGCUGAUAUCUAGAUGAACAGGUAUGUUUGUGGGGGGUUUUCAAUGUAGGGAUGUGUGUGUGUGUGGGGGAUGUGUGUGUGGGGGGGGAUGUGUGUGUCCAUCUAACUGUUGUGGUAUAGGGGACAGAAACAGUUUACAGAGAACCUAGUUUACCAUUGAUCAUAACGCUUUUGAUACGUCCCAAUCCUCCACCCCCCAAGUGUAUACUUGCCUUGCACACUCCCAGUCAUGGGUUUAAUGGCUGAAUCUCCCUCCAGCCAAUGACUACACCAUUCCAAUGCUUUUUAAAACCAGAGCAAAAAGUGUAUGAGUGCACAUUGGGAGAAUUUGGAGACAACCUGUGAUUGUAACUAAGAAGGGACUGGUACUUUGAUCAUUUUUAACCAUGUUGCCAUGGCAGCCAGUGAUGAUUUUAAUGUUGUUUUUUACACAAUAAAAGACAGGACAUUUUCAUGAGUAA